rnacentral:rRNA from 1 species
AUGGGAACCUUACAUUCCUGCAUCAAAGAGGCAAUAAGAAUGCAUUCUCCAUCAGCAAUGGUAAUGCGCCACGUGAAGAAGAACUUCACUGUACAAACAAGAGAAGGCUACAGCUAUGAAAUUCCAGAAGGGCAUACCGUAGCUACCUCCAUAGUGGUUGGCAACCAGCUACCACAUAUUUAUAAAGACCCUCAUGUAUAUGACCCGUACCGUUUUGGUCCAGGGAGAGAGGAGGACAAAGCUGGCGGCAAGUUUGCAUUCACAUCAUUUGGUGGUGGGAGGCAUGCUUGCUUCGGGGAGGAAUAUUCUUACAUGCAAAUUAAAGUGAUAUGGAGUUUUUUGCUGAGGAACUUUGAGCUCAAAAUGAUUUCGCCUUUUCCAGAGGAAGAAAUUGAUAAAUUCAUACCAGGGCCUAAAGGAAGAGUGAUGGUCAGUUACAAGAGGCGACUUCUUGUCAGUACCUAG